rnacentral:lncRNA from 1 species
CGGGGAGGGGCCGGUCAGGCUGGGGCACAGGGCUGACCAACAGCAGAGUCAGCCUCCAUCUCUGCUGCUGGCCCAGCAGAGGGUCCCUGACCUGCGGAGGAGCCCCCCUCUCCUAACCGGCCCCAGCCCCACCCAGGGGGCCUCGUAACCUGCCGGCUCCUCCACUCGUGCCUCUGUCCAUCUGCACCAGACCCAGCCGUCCCUGCAGGCCCCGGCAGUAGGGCCACCACACUGCUUGGAGGAAGUCAGCUUUCCAGCGCCCGGCCUGCCCGGCGCCGUGACUCCCCAGGAAGGUGUGUGGGGCAUGGGCGGCUGGAGCCUGCGAGAGGCCGCCUCUGUGGACGGAGAGGGGACAUGUCCCUGUCCACCCUCCCUGUCCCCACCAAGGAAGGGUCGCGAUUGGUGAUUGGCCGCACUCAGGGCCUUCAGAUAGGAGUCCUUGGACACCACACUCAGGAACCAGGACUUUCUGGAGCUUAGGAAUCGAAACGAUGUGGCGAGAGGCGGUGGGGGAGGAGAGGCCCUGAGCCAGUGGGCUGGCCAUCCUUGUGGCCUGAGCUGCCCACUCGGCACUGUGUCCACAUGCCCCGUGCUCCCCUCCUUGCCCCUGCUGUGGCCCUUCCGUGGCCUUCAAGGGGGCACCCGGGGCGUCAGGCUGGGGGAGCGCAGCCCAGACAGAGGCGCCCGCACCCUGGACAGAGCCUGGAGUCUCGGCUCCUGGGUCAAGUGUGAGGACGAGGUUGUAAUGGACGCCCUGGCCUCCCCCGGCGUGAGCUGCUGAAGCAGUGGGUCGGGGGCACGAGCCCACCGCCUUUUCACCGAGGGCUGAAGUUCUCCAGGCUCAGGCACGGGUGGUGAGGGUCCCUCCUGAGGGUCUCUUGGGCCUGCCCCUGUGCCGCCCUGCCGCGCCCCUAGAGCUGGUGAUGCGUACCGGGGGCGGGGCCCCGGCUUUGUGACACGUCUUGGGUGUCCAUUUAGUGUUGCCAGGAGACCCGGCUCCCCUCACGUGGGCUUGGGCUGAGCGAGAGGCACUUUGCGUUCCCACUCAUCCAGGACCUGCGAAUCGUGAGAGGAGUGAGGAGAGUGUGUUCUGGCUGCGCGUCCGGCUGCGGGGAAGGCGGGUGCUUCGCCCCUCUGUCUGCUCUGCCCCUCCGUCUGCAGGGAGUCCAGGACCACGUGGGACGCGGGUCCUCUUGUUCAGAACAACCCAGCUGAUCCCGACGUCCCAGCGCGGGGCCUGGAGAGGAAGGACUUUGGCCACGGUUGCCAGGUCUGCAUGCAGGAGGCCCUGGGUCAGGGUCGGGGGUCCCGGGUGCCACCUCGCACCACCACAUGGCAGGCCUGCUGACGGGCUGGCGGGUGUCCGCGCGGCCAGCGCCGUGGGCCCCGGCUUUCACUGAAGACCCACCCACUCGGCCCUGCAUUCUGAACUUGAGGUGCCCGGGGUGUCAGGGUGACUCUCAGAUCUGAUGGAGUAAAUCUUUUCAGAAGAUCUCUGGGAGAAGGUGAGUGGGUGCGCUUGAGUCUCCACGCCUCCCGGGGGCUUGCCCUGUGUCACCUUCAGUGACAGGCUGGCUGGUCCAUCUCAGGACAGAAGACUCAGCACUUGAACUUUAUAAGUGCCAGUUACAUCGUGUCAUAGGUAAUCUCAUUGUUUCUUCUUCCGGGAGACCUGUAGGACUCUGUGUCCUCGAAGUUCUCACUUUCACCACCAUAGAUAUAUUCUUUUUUCCACUGUCUGGUUCUUGGAGUAUAAUUUAGGACUAAAGUCUUAAAUCUCCUUGCACUACGGACAUUGCUUCACUUUUUUUCUUUGUUUCUUCUCUUACGCUCUCUUCCUUUUCCUCUUCUGGAAACCCUGACAGACAGACAUUGUGUCUGUGUCACUUAAAUUUGCUCUCACAAUUAUCCCUUCCACACGUUUCUGUUUCAAGAUCUGCAGUAAUCCCUUGAUGUGACCUUCCACGUGACUGGAGUUUGAUUUUUGGCAACAUCUUUUCUGUUAGUUGACCCUUCCAUCUGAAUGCUUUCAUCUGGGAAUCAUGUUUCAAUACCAAGCCUGCCUUUCUGGGUUCUGAACCCCUGGUGCCUUUGUCGUGUUGUACAAAUGUGCUAUUAGAUGCUCGUGAAACCCACGCAAACUCAGGGCUGCUGCGUCCCGAUGUCCACAUGGCGUCACAUCCAGAAGACCAGAGCAGAUGACCAAAAGCUGUGGCCAGCAGCUGAAACCUGCUCUUAGGACAAUCCCCAAGGGGAAGUCACAGCUCACAGAAAAAACAGUCUUAGAAUAUUUUUCAACAUUUCUGUCUCUUCCUAAAGUAACACAGUAAUAUCAGCUAUAUUUUCUGUGCACUUCUUUCUGAAGACAAUGAAGGCUGUGCACAGGGCCUUCUGACCUCAAAGUUCCACCUGUAAUAGCUGUUAACAUCCUUCCCCCCUCCAACACCCCCAAACACCCGACAGCCACCCUGGCCACGUCCUUCCCUUUCCCAGUGGCCCUGCCCACCUGACUGGCCGGAAGGGCCACGGUUCCCUCCCACCCCUGGAGGGCCUGUCCCUGUGGAAGGAAAAACACAGGACUCUGGAAAUGUGGCCUCUCCUGCCACAGGGGAAACCUGCAAGAUUUCUGGUGGAUGAAAGUGUCACAUGAUCACACCAGCUAAAGCUGGCUUUUCCUGC